GCCUCAGUGAGAGAAGAAAUACCUAACCCUCCAAAGACACACCCCUCCUCAGAACCUCUCUCCAAAUUGAAGCUGGUCCUCGGCAUUGAUCAAUCUUUCCUAUGAGAGAAGAGGUCCUGUGUGAUAAAGCCAAAAUAUCUCAAGAAGUUAAUGGCCAGGAGCUCAGUCUCCAGAAGCAUGGUUAGGAAUGGCUAAGUGGAACAAAUGAGCCUUUAUAUGUAUCUUCAUGAGCGCGAGCUGACAAGGUCCAACGUCAUAGAACACAGCGGGGACGCCAACCACAGCCCAAUGAAGAGCAUCCUUGCGGUCAGCAAGCUGUAGCCUGACACAGAAAGGAGUUCGAGGUUAGAAAGGCAUAAGAGGGGUCAAGACCCACAGGUUGAGAACAACUGCUCUCGAAGCUCCAGUGAGUCCAUCAGCUAUUCUUCACAACACAUCCCUCCCCUCGAAUGAAAAAGUGAGUGAUUCUUCCUCGGAGCGUCAUACAUUCCUGGGGUACUGAAGUAGGAGGCUCAGUAAUUCAGUGGUCUUAGGCAUCAAGAGAAGAAAAGCCGUUUAUAUCAUUUAUAAUAAAGCUGCAAGUAAAAAAAAAAAUUGCCAAUAAAGAAACAAAUUGUA